UAUAUGGGUGUUUUUUUUAUUGGAAACAACACUUUUAUAACUUCCAAAAUUGUUUUAACACGUUAUUCUUCAAAACAAUUUCAUCCAAAACAUGAUCUCAGAUAUCACGGUUUAUCCAACAAGAAGAAAAUAAAGUCUUAAAUCACGAUUUCUACAACAAGCCGCCACAAUACUCUGCUCUUCUUGCGCUGGACCGGUCCAAUGAUGGACUGUAGUCCGACCCUAAAAGAGGACCUAAGUGCCAGGGAUUUCAGGAGAGGAAGAGCCAUUGAUGAAAAUAAGGUUGAGUUUGUUGCUAAUGUUUGUGUUUUUCUUGGGAGAAAGUGAAACUUAAUUGAUCAGUAAGCCAUCAGACUCUUCAAAUAAAUCUGGCGCUGUGUUCAAUCUAUCUAACACCAUCAUUAGCAGCAGAAUCAUGACACUUUCAACCACUUUGAAACAAUUAGGUCUAAUUCAAAUCCUAAUGAUGAUAAUUUUUAAGCACUGUUAGCAGAGCCGUCAAUUGAUCAGACUCCAAUGGCAGCGGUAGUGUCACGAUCCAAUUUCAUGGGCCGAGACCGGUGCUAGGGAAUGAGAGUGCUAGCUCCGAAACCCGUAGCAAGCCUAAAAAUACUGUAAUUUUUUUUUUUCGCUUUUCAAAACAUACUUUUAUUCAUAAAACAAUUUUGUAAUACAUGUGAUUCCAUUUAUAAAAGCAUUAGAGUUAAAACA